AUAGGUCAAUGGUAGAGUGCAUGCUUAGAAUGCAUGAGGUCCUGGGUUCAAUCCCUAGU
rnacentral:tRNA from 1 species